rnacentral:lncRNA from 1 species
CAGGGAAGAGAGGUGGAUCACAAGGAUCUCUUAAAUACCAAGUCUUUCCUUAGUCAGAAUAUUCCUUCUAACGUAAUUUAAUAGCACAAUUAAAUACUACUAUUAUACCCUCAAAUAUUGAAAGAAAAAUAGGACAAAAAGAACAUAAGAGUUUUAACGAGGUUCGGUAAAUUAUACCUACGUCCUCGGGCACUAACACCAGAUGAUAACUUUACUAUCUCCAAAAUAUUACAAACAAAUAGAAUUCCUUAAGAAUUCUCAAAUGGGAGAAGAGAGAAAACUAAGAGAGAAAGAUUGGUUGGGAUGAUGUAAAUGAGAAAUGGUUAGGCCUAUUUAUAGUUGAGGUUCAGGGACUAACUUGCAAAUGGCCUAAAAAAUUAGGGACCAAAAUUGUAAUUAUCCCAUUCAACUUUAAACAACUUGCCUACCAUUUUUUUCUUUCGGUGCCACUUGCAC